CCCUAAAGCCUUCCCUCACUGCCGACUUCUCCCCUUCGCUUCCUCUGUGCCACCCUCCGAAGCCGCAACGGCGUCGGCAGAUCGCCGGCCUCGCUCACCCCGCACCGGCAGAGCCUCCCUCUCGCGAUUCUCCCUGCCCUAUCGCCGGCCGCCUGCGAGUUCACUGCCGAUGGAGGUCUUCUCCUCCACCGUUCCUCACCACCGCCACUCGACCUUCCUCUUCCCGAUUUCCACCUUUCUUCGCCUAAGCCCUAGCGUGUGCCGAUGUCGCGCCUUGCAUCUACGCCCGACGCCAUCAUCCUUACCAUGCCCUAGCUUGAAUUGAUCUCGCGGUGGUGCACAGAUCUUCCUCCAGCCGACGCUGUCGAUUCGUCUCGACGCUGCCGCCGACCAAGGAGUAAGAAGGGGCGUUGUUCCAAGGAUCCAGCCACCCUUUGCUUCUUCCCUCGUCUUCAAGGUGCGGCUGGUCAAUUGCUUGGAGUCAUCCGACCAUCACCAGAAGAGUGAGUGAUGGAGAGGAGUAUGCUGGUAAUAGAUUGAGUUUUGGCCAGCACUGUAGGCCAGUGAACCAUCGGAGAAGAGAUUGUUGACAUGGAAUUAAGUUAGAAGGUGAUAGAGAUGUGGGCAGCAGUAAGCAUCACACCCGUGAUUUUCAACAGUGGGUUGUUUCGUUCACAAGGAGCACUUCGAAUGAGGAUCCGAGUUGGAUGUGAUCUUCUGGAGUUGUUGAAGACGAUUGACACGCACUACGUAUUAA